rnacentral:sRNA from 1 species
GCCAGGUGCAGUGGCUCAUGCCUGUAAUCCCAGCGGCUCGGGAGGCAGAGGCAGGAGGAUUGUGAGUUCAAAGCCAUCCUCAGCAAUUUAGUGAGGCGCUAAGCAACUCAGUGAGACCCUGUCUCUA